rnacentral:rRNA from 1 species
GUUAAACUGCUCGUAGUCGUGUUUCUGUUCGGUUCGGUCGGUCCGCCCAUGGGGUGUGCAUCGGUCGGACUGUGCAUAUAAGUGAACAUGCUGCCCGUAUUCAUGUGUAGCUCACGUGUUCAAAUCGUUUACUUUGAGGAAAUUGAAGUGCUUCGAGCAUGCGUAUGCAUCGCACGCGAUAGCAUGGAAUAGCAAUAUAUGACCGCUGCAAUAUAUUGUUGGUUUUUAGGCUGCGGUAAUGACCGAUAGGAAUAAUUUGUGGUAUUUGUAUUUAGCAGUCAGAGGUGAAAUUCUUGAAUUUGCUAAAGACACACUAUUGCGAAAGCAUUUGCCAAAUAUGUCUUCAUUGAUCAAGAACUAAAGUUAGGGGAUCGAAGACGAUCAGAUACCGUCCUAGUCUUAACAAUAAACAAUGCCGGCUAGGAAUUGUAAGCCUUCAAAUGUGUGAUCUUUUCAGCGCUUUCUGACAAAUCAAAGCAUUUGGGCUCCGGGGGGAGUAUGGUCGCAAGGCUGAAACUUAAAGGAAUUGACGGAAGGGCACCACCAGGAGUGGAGCCUGCGGCUUAAUUUGACUCAACACGGGGAAACUUACCAGGUCCUGACAUAAUAAGGAUUGACGGAAUGAUUGUUUAUUCUUGAUUAUAUGGGUGGUGGUGCAUGGCCGUUCUUAGUUGGUGGAGUGAUUUGUCUGGUUAAUUUCGUUAACGAACGAGACCUUGACCUGCUAAACAAUUAGACAUAACUUAGGCUAUGUUACAAGCUCCUUAGAGGGACGUUGUGCGUUUAGUGCAAUGAAGUUUUAG